rnacentral:rRNA from 1 species
GACGAACGCUGGCGGCGUGCUUAACACAUGCAAGUCGAACGCUGAAGCUCAGCUUUUGUUGGGUGGAUGAGUGGCGAACGGGUGAGUAACACGUGAGUAACCUGCCUCCUUCUUUGGGAUAACGCCCGGAAACGGGUGCUAAUACUGGAUAUUCACUGGUCUUCGCAUGGGGGUUGGUGGAAAGGGUUUUUCUGGUGGGGGAUGGGCUCGCGGCCUAUCAGCUUGUUGGUGGGGUGAUGGCCUACCAAGGCUUUGACGGGUAGCCGGCCUGAGAGGGUGACCGGUAACAUUGGGACUGGGAUCCGGCCCAGACUACUACGGGAGGCAGAAGUGGGGAAUAUUGCACAAUGGGCGCAAGCCUGAUGCAGCGACGCCGCGUGAGGGAUGGAGGCCUUCGGGUUGUGAACCUCUUUCGCUCAUGGUCAAGCCGCAACAAUGGUUGUGGUGAGGGUAGUGGGUAAAGAAGCGCCGGCUAACUACGUG